rnacentral:rRNA from 1 species
GAUGAACGCUGGCGGCGUGCCUAAUACAUGCAAGUCGAGCGAACGGACGAGAAGCUUGCUUCUCUGAUGUUAGCGGCGGACGGGUGAGUAACACGUGGAUAACCUACCUAUAAGACUGGGAUAACUUCGGGAAACCGGAGCUAAUACCGGAGGAUAUUUUGAACCGCAUGGUUCAAAAGUGAAAGACGGUCUUGCUGUCACUUAUAGAUGGAUCCGCGCUGCAUUAGCUAGUUGGUAAGGUAACGGCUUACCAAGGCAACGAUGCAUAGCCGACCUGAGAGGGUGAUCGGCCACACUGGAACUGAGACACGGUCCAGACUCCUACGGGAGGCAGCAGUAGGGAAUCUUCCGCAAUGGGCGAAAGCCUGACGGAGCAACGCCGCGUGAGUGAUGAAGGUCUUCGGAUCGUAAAGCUCUGUUAUUAGGGAAGAACAUAUGUGUAAGUAACUGUGCACAUCUUGACGGUACCUAAUCAGAAAGCCACGGCUAACUACGUG